CCAAAGGCUCUUUUAAGAGCCACCCACUUUUUCAUUAAAGGAGCUG
rfam:Chaetura pelagica isolate M959 contig50916, whole genome shotgun sequence.